rnacentral:rRNA from 1 species
GACGGAGGAUGCAAGUGUUAUCCGGAAUCACUGGGCGUAAAGCGUCUGUAGGUGGUUUAAUAAGUCAACUGUUAAAUCUUGAGGCUCAACCUCAAAAUCGCAGUCGAAACUAUUAGGCUAGAGUAUAGUAGGGGUAAAGGGAAUUCCCAGUGGAGCGGUGAAAUGCGUAGAGAUUGGAAAGAACACCGAUGGCGAAGGCACUUUAUUGGGCUAUUACUAACACUCAGAGACGAAAGCUAGGGUAGCAAAUGGG